rnacentral:rRNA from 1 species
GACGAACGCUGGCGGCGUGCUUAACACAUGCAAGUCGAACGGAAAGGCCCUGCUUUUGUGAGGUGCUCGAGUGGCGAACGGGUGAGUAACACGUGAGUAACCUGCCCUUGACUUUGGGAUAACUUCAGGAAACUGGGGCUAAUACCGGAUAGGAGCUCCUGCUGGAUGGUGGGGGUUGGAAAGUUUCGGCGGUUGGGGAUGGACUCGCGGCUUAUCAGCUUGUUGGUGGGGUAGUGGCUUACCAAGGCUUUGACGGGUAGCCGGCCUGAGAGGGUGACCGGCCACAUUGGGACUGAGAUACGGCCCAGACUCCUACGGGAGGCAGCAGUGGGGAAUAUUGCACAAUGGGCGGAAGCCUGAUGCAGCAACGCCGCGUGCGGGAUGACGGCCUUCGGGUUGUAAACCGCUUUCGCCUGUGACGAAGCGUGAGUGACGGUAAUGGGUAAAGAAGCACCGGCUAACUACGUG